AUUGAACGCUGGCGGCAUGCUUUACACAUGCAAGUCGAACGGCAGCGGGGGCUUCGGUCCGCCGGCGAGUGGCGAACGGGUGAGUAAUGCAUCGGAACGUGCCCAGUCGUGGGGGAUAACACAUCGAAAGAUGUGCUAAUACCGCAUACGUCCUGAGGGAGAAAGCGGGGGAUCUUCGGACCUCGCGCGAUUGGAGCGGCCGAUGUCGGAUUAGCUAGUUGGUGGGGUAAAGGCCCACCAAGGCGACGAUCCGUAGCGGGUCUGAGAGGAUGAUCCGCCACACUGGGACUGAGACACGGCCCAGACUCCUACGGGAGGCAGCAGUGGGGAAUAUUGGACAAUGGGCGCAAGCCUGAUCCAGCAAUGCCGCGUGAGUGAUGAAGGCCUUAGGGUUGUAAAGCUCUUUCGCACGCGACGAUGAUGACGGUAGCGUGAGAAGAAGCCCCGGCUAACUACGUGCCAGCAGCCGCGGUAAGUCA
rnacentral:rRNA from 1 species